rnacentral:rRNA from 1 species
GACGAACGCUGGCGGCGUGCCUAAUACAUGCAAGUCGAACGCACUCUCGUUUAGAUUGAAGGAGCUUGCUCCUGAUUGAUAAACAUUUGAGUGAGUGGCGGACGGGUGAGUAACACGUGGGUAACCUGCCCUAAAGUGGGGGAUAACAUUUGGAAACAGAUGCUAAUACCGCAUAAAACCUAACACCGCACGGUGUAGGGUUGAAAGAUGGUUUCGGCUAUCACUUUAGGAUGGACCCGCGGUGCAUUAGUUAGUUGGUGAGGUAAAGGCUCACCAAGACCGUGAUGCAUAGCCGACCUGAGAGGGUAAUCGGCCACACUGGGACUGAGACACGGCCCAGACUCCGACGGGAGGCAGCAGUAGGGAAUCUUCCACAAUGGACGAAAGUCUGAUGGAGCAACGCCGCGUGAGUGAAGAAGGUUUUCGGAUCGUAAAACUCUGUUAGUUGGAGAAGAAUGUAUCUGAUAGUAACUGAUCAGGUAGUGACGGUAUCCAAACCAGAAA